UUGUUUCACAGCUCAUGGUUUGCUACUAACCUGAGGAUUCUGGAGGUGACCGAAAGCAGAAGCUAGGAUACUUUAAGUUGUCAAACAGGAGAUGAACAUACUUUUCCUCAUGAGGAGACUGCUUGCCAUAGUCAAUACCCAUGACUACAGACAGCAGUUGCAAAGGAGGCUCAGAGAAUGUGGAAGCUCCUGUCUGUGACUGACUGC